rnacentral:rRNA from 1 species
UACAGAGGUGGCAAGCGUUGUUCGGAAUUACUGGGCGUAAAGGGCGCGUAGGCGGUUCGGUAAGUCCUGUGUGAAAUCCCACGGCUCAACCGUGGAACGGCUGGGUAUACUGCCUGUCUUGAGCCAACUAGGGGCGAGCGGAACAGACGGUGGAGCGGUGAAAUGCGUAGAUAUCGUCUGGAACGCCAAAGGUGAAAACAGCUCGCUGGGGUUGUGCUGACGCUGAGACACGAAAGCCAGGGGAGCGAACGGG